rnacentral:rRNA from 1 species
AUACGUAGGGUGCAAGCGUUAAUCGGAAUUACUGGGCGUAAAGCGUGCGCAGGCGGUUUUGUAAGACAGAGGUGAAAUCCCCGGGCUCAACCUGGGGAAUGCCUUUUUGACUGCAAGGACAGAGUUCGGCCGAGGGGGAUGGAAUUUCGCGUGUAGAAGUGAAAUGCGUAGAUAUGCGGAGGAACACCGAUGGCGAAGGCAAUCCCCUGGGCCUGUACUGACGCUCAUGCACGAAAGCGUGGGGAGCAAACAGGAUUAGAUACCCUGGUAGUCCACGCCCUAAACGAUGUCAACUGGUUGUUGGGUCUUCAUUGACUCAGUAACGAAGCUAACGCGUGAAGUUGACCGCCUGGGGAGUACGGCCGCAAGGUUGAAACUCAAAUGAAUUGACGGGG